rnacentral:rRNA from 1 species
UGCUGGAGGUAUCAGAAGUGCGAAUGCUGACAUAAGUAACGAUAAAGCGGGUGAAAAGCCCGCUCGCCGGAAGACCAAGGGUUCCUGUCCAACGUUAAUCGGGGCAGGGUGAGUCGACCCCUAAGGCGAGGCCGAAAGGCGUAGUCGAUGGGAAACGGGUUAAUAUUCCCGUACUUGGUGUUACUGCGAAGGGGGGACGGAGAAGGCUAUGUUGGCCGGGUGACGGUUGUCCCGGUUUAAGCGUGUAGGUGUGUGUUCCAGGUAAAUCCGGUUCACUUUAACACUGAGGCGUGACGACGAGGCACUACGGUGCUGAAGCAACAAAUGCCCUGCUUCCAGGAAAAGCCUCUAAGCAUCAGGUAACAUCAAAUCGUACCCCAAACCGACACAGGUGGUCAGGUAGAGAAUACCAAGGCGCUUGAGAGAACUCGGGUGAAGGAACUAGGCAAAAUGGUGCCGUAACUUCGGGAGAAGGCACGCUGACACGUAGGUGAAGUGAUUUACUCAUGGAGCUGAAGUCAGUCGAAGAUACCAGCUGGCUGCAACUGUUUAUUAAAAACACAGCACUGUGCAAACACGAAAGUGGACGUAUACGGUGUGACGCCUGCCCGGUGCCGGAAGGUUAAUUGAUGGGGUCAGCGCAAGCGAAGCUCCUGAUCGAAGCCCCGGUAAACGGCGGCCGUAACUAUAACGGUCCUAAGGUAGCGAAAUUCCUUGUCGGGUAAGUUCCGACCUGCACGAAUGGCGUAAUGAUGGCCAGGCUGUCUCCACCCGAGACUCAGUGAAAUUGAACUCGCUGUGAAGAUGCAGUGUACCCGCGGCAAGACGGAAAGACCCCGUGAACCUUUACUAUAGCUUGACACUGAACAUUGAGCCUUGAUGUGUAGGAUAGGUGGGAGGCUUUGAAGUGUGGACGCCAGUCUGCAUGGAGCCGACCUUGAAAUACCACCCUUUAAUGUUUGAUGUUCUAACGUGGACCCGUAAUCCGGGUUGCGGACAGUGUCUGGUGGGUAGUUUGACUGGGGCGGUCUCCUCCUAAAGAGUAACGGAGGAGCACGAAGGUUGGCUAAUCCUGGUCGGACAUCAGGAGGUUAGUGCAAUGGCAUAAGCCAGCUUGACUGCGAGCGUGACGGCGCGAGCAGGUGCGAAAGCAGGUCAUAGUGAUCCGGUGGUUCUGAAUGGAAGGGCCAUCGCUCAACGGAUAAAAGGUACUCCGGGGAUAACAGGCUGAUACCGCCCAAGAGUUCAUAUCGACGGCGGUGUUUGGCACCUCGAUGUCGGCUCAUCACAUCCUGGGGCUGAAGUAGGUCCCAAGGGUAUGGCUGUUCGCCAUUUAAAGUGGUACGCGAGCUGGGUUUAGAACGUCGUGAGACAGUUCGGUCCCUAUCUGCCGUGGGCGCUGGAGAACUGAGGGGGGCUGCUCCUAGUACGAGAGGACCGGAGUGGACGCAUCACUGGUGUUCGGGUUGUCAUGCCAAUGGCACUGCCCGGUAGCUAAAUGCGGAAGAGAUAAGUGCUGAAAGCAUCUAAGCACGAAACUUGCCCCGAGAUGAGUUCUCCCUGAGACUUUAAGUCUCCUGAAGGAACGUUGAAGACGACGACGUUGAUAGGCCGGGUGUGUAAGCGCAGCGAUGCGUUGAGCUAACCGGUACUAAUGAACCGUGAGGCUUAACCUUACAACGCCGAAG